AUAAAUGUGUUUGAGCAAAAUAUGUAGUUGAACCACAAACACAUUUAGAAGUAUUCUUGCACUUGUCAAUGGGUCGAGACGUCAGAAGAAGACGUUAACAAUCUUGUAAUUUUAUACUUUUCCUUUUCUACAAAAUUUAUCACAUUUAUAAUAGAAGCCAUCACGUUUAUUAUGAAAGUAAAUAACCUAUACACAAAUCCAAGGAAGUAAAAACGUUUAACAUCAUCUUCUAAUGUGUCACUUUUAGGUUUGGUUAAACUGAAUUAAAAGUGACCUUAUUCUUAUAUAAUCAUAAGAUCUAAAGCGUCCUAGAAUCACAUCAUAUUUAGGUUGAAAUACAACUAUACAAGAUACUAGUACGUAUUUAACUUGACACACCCUUAUAUGUGUUUGUAGUGAGAGCUUGAAAAAUGUCUUCUCUCCACAUGGAUUUUAUAUAGUUCUCCAUGAGAGGAAGGUUGAUUGUUGAGAUGAUGUACAAGAUGAAACAAGAUUUAGAUGGACUUAGAUACACACCUAGAUUAAUUUAUCUAUUUUGAUGUUAUGUUUAUUAUUGAGACAAUAUUGUUUCCUUUUAUUUGAAUCUUGUAUGACACUCUAGUUUUGAAAUGAAAUUCGAAUUUAAUUGUUAUUCUCA